rnacentral:misc_RNA from 1 species
UGAUCGUCUGUUUUUCAUCUACCAGUCUUCGCUCCGUUCAUUCUAUUUCUUUCCCACAAUGACCCUGCAUUGAGAUUGUACCUGUCUGGUUUUCUCAGGAACCAAAUAGACAAACUUUCUUUAUCUUCUAUUUUAUUAGGGUUUUUGUUUUGCUAAAGAUGACUUAUUACGAGGAUGACGAAGUGGUGCCACAGCUGAGGAUGAGAGCGGAAGCUCAUAGUGAUGAUGAGGAUGAUAGCAAAGGGGC